rnacentral:rRNA from 1 species
UACGUAGGGUGCGAGCGUUGUCCGGAAUUAUUGGGCGUAAAGAGCUCGUAGGCGGUGUGUCGCGUCGGCCGUGAAAACCUGGGGCUUAACUCUGGGCGUGCGGUCGAUACGGGCAUCACUAGAGUUCGGCAGGGGAGACUGGAAUUCCUGGUGUAGCGGUGAAAUGCGCAGAUAUCAGGAGGAACACCGAUGACGAAGGCAGGUCUCUGGGCAUUAACUGACGCUGAGGAGCGAAAGCAUGGGGAGCGAACAGG